CAUGGGUUGGAAGACUUAAUAUUGUAACAAUGUCCAUUCACCCCAAAGCAAUCUGCCGAUUUAAUGCAAUCCCUAUCAAAAUCCCAAUGGCAAUUUUACAGAAAUAGAAAAAAAAAAAGUCCUAACAUUUCUACUGGAUCUCAAAGGGCCCUGAACAGUUGAAACAAUCUUUAAAAAGACAGUGUUUGACUCCUCACACUUCCUGAUUCCAAAACAUGUUACACACAAAGCUACAGUCAUCCAAAUACUGUCAGACUGGCAUAAAGGUAGAUGUACAGACCAGUGGAACAGAAUAGAGUCAGACAUAAACCCUCACGUAUGCGGCCAAAUGAGCUUCAACAGAACACACAAUAGGGUUCAGACAGCCUCAACAGACAGUGGCGGGGAAACAGGAUAUGCAAACACAAGAAAGUGAAGUUAGACCCUUACCUUAAGCCGUAUAUAAAACUUAACUCAAAAAUGGACUAAAGGCCUAAAUGUAAGACCUAAAACUAUAAAAGUCCUAGCAGAAAACAUAGGGGGAAAUGCCUGACAUAGGAUUUGGCAAAGAUUUAUUAGACAUGAUGCCCAAAGCAUGGGAAACAAAAGCAAAAGCAGACAAACGGGACCAGAGCAAACCAGCAGCACCUCAAAGCCCCCUCGGCUGCGAAGGUGGCCUCACCCACGCCUCCCAGCCCCCACCCCACUCGAGCCGCUUUCCCAUCCCUCCACCUGCCUCAGCCUCGGUAAGGGGUUCCCCAAGGCCCCCAAAAGUUGGCCCCAAGCCAGAGACUGUCCUGCCACAGGGACUUCUCGGAAACAAGGUGUUCUCCUGUGAGUGAAUUUCAGUUUCUCUUUCCUUCUGGCCAGGUCCGGGGAGGGGACCUGCGGGCUCCCCUGUCUCUGCGCCUGGGUGGCCUCACCCAGACCCACGUGCUCCCCUGGGUCAGGACUGGCCCCACCCAUGAGCGCCUUUCCCGUCCAAGUGGAGAUUCCAAUUUCCACUUACCUUUUCCCUUUACCUACAUCAGCCGGGGCUGCCCGGGGAGCCUGGCUAAAAGCAGAGCCAUGCAGCGGGGAAAGCAGUGGGGAUCUGGCCAUGGCGACAGCGUGGAUCCUGGUGCUGGUGACCGUGCUGCUGGGCUUGACCGGAGCAGGCCCUGUCCCUACUUCCAAACCCACCUCAACCAGGAGGAGCUGCCUCAUGAGCAGGUUCCAAUCUCUGUCACCAAGGGAGGUGGAAGCCAUCAGGAAGGCCAAGGAUGCCCUAGAAGAGUCGCUCUCGCCGAGGAACUGGAGCUGCAGCUCUCGCCUCUUCCCUCAGUCCAGGGACCUGAGACUGCUGCAGGCCUGGGAGCGCCCCGUGGCCUUGGAGGCCGAGCUAGCCUUGACACUGAAGGUCCUGGGGACCAUGGCUGACUCGUCCCUGGGGGUCGUCCUGGACCAGCCCCUCCGUCUGCUGCGCCACGUGCACUCGGAGCUCCAGGCUUGUGUCCCGGCUCUGCCCACAGCAGGACCCAGAGCCCGGGGCCGCCUCCACCACUGGCUGCACCGGCUCCAGAAGGCCCCAAAGGAGUCCCAGGGCUGCCUCGAGGCCUCCGUCACGUUCAACCUCUUCCGCCUCUUCACAUGGGACCUGAAAUGUGUUGCCAGCGGAGACAUGUGUGUCUAAGAACCCAGGCCCCCACGCUCAGCCCGCCUGGGACCCGGACCUUUCCUAGGCACCAAGCCUCACCCCUGCCUUAAGUUAUUUCCUCUCAACCCCCUUAUUUAUGCAGCCCUGCUCCAUACCCAUAAGAAAUGUUUAUUUUUCUACUUUUGUACAACGUGCAGCAAAUAAACAGGAAUGGGGGGAAAAAAUAAAGAGCCACUACUCCGGAGACUGAGAGAACAGAGGAACGCGACAAACAACAGCGCGGCUGCAAUCAGCAGAAUGCCGGCUCGGGCGAGCUCGGAAGCACUAGAGAUCCAGCUUAACAAAAACAUCUCAAGGAGAAAAAAAAUGAGGAAGAUGGUGUCCCUACACUCUACAAGGACAGCCUUCAGGGUAAACGUGAUUUAAAGAUCUAUCCACCAUUGCGAUGUGGAGACCUUAUUUGAGCCCUGAUACGGUUUUUAAAACAUGGAUUUCUAGGACAACUGGAUUUCAGAACACUGAUUGCAUACCACUAUUAAAGAAUUCUAAACACUUAGGUGCGAUAAUGAUACGGUGCCCUGAAAGUCCUUGUCUUGGGGAGCCUGGCU